rnacentral:rRNA from 1 species
AACUAGCAUAUCAAUAAGCGGAGGAAAAGAAACCAACAGGGAUUGCCCCCAGUAACGGCGAGUGAAGCGGCAAGAGCUCAAAUUUGAAAUCUGGCCUCCCCCGGGGGCCCGAGUUGUAAUUUGCAGAGGAUGCUUCGGGUGCGGCCGCCGUCUAAGUUCCUUGGAACAGGACGUCAGAGAGGGUGAGAAUCCCGUCUUGGGCGGGCGGUCCGCGCCCGUGUGAAGCUCCUUCGACGAGUCGAGUUGUUUGGGAAUGCAGCUCUAAGCGGGUGGUAAAUUUCAUCUAAAGCUAAAUAUUGGCCGGAGACCGAUAGCGCACAAGUAGAGUGAUCGAAAGGUUAAAAGCACCUUGAAAAGGGAGUUAAACAGCACGUGAAAUUGUUGAAAGGGAAGCGCUUGCGGCCAGACUCGGGGGCGGGGUUCAGCGGGUGCUCGUCGCCCGUGUAUUCCUCGUCUCCCGGGCCAGCAUCAGUUUCGACGGCCGGUCAAAGGCCCCCGGAAUGUGUCGUCUCUCGGGACGUCUUAUAGCCGGGGGUGCAAUGCGGCCCGUCGGGACUGAGGAACGCGCUCCGGCUCGGAUGCUGGCGUAAUGGCCGUAAGCGGCCCGUCUUGAAACACGGACCAAGGAGUCUAACAUCCACGCGAGUGUUCGGGUGUCAAACCCGUGCGCGCAGUGAAAGCGAACGGAGGUGGGAGCCUUAGGGCGCACCAUCGACCGAUCCUGAAGUCUUCGGAUGGAUUUGAGUAGGAGCGUGGCCGUUGGGACCCGAAAGAUGGUGAACUAUGCCUGAAUAGGGUGAAGCCAGAGGAAACUCUGGUGGAGGCUCGCAGCGGUUCUGACGUGCAAAUCGAUCGUCAAAUUUGGGCAUAGGGGCGAAAGACUAAUCGAACCAUCUAGUAGCUGGUUCCUGCGAGC